UUCCUCCUCCUUUUCUUGUGAAACAAAUGAGUCUUUAACAAUUUUAAGUUUGUACUUAAAUUUUAUGCAUAUAUACACACACAAAAAAUUUUAUUUUUGAUGAAAUGGUUCAAGAGUAAUUCAAAAUGAUAUCAAGUCAAAGAAGAAUAACUUACAAAUGUUUAUAAUUGGCUGAAUAUGGUAGAGCCUGCUGCUCUUGUCUAUUAAGGCU
rnacentral:lncRNA from 1 species